AACGAACGCUGGCGGCAGGCUUAACACAUGCAAGUCGAACGCCCCGCAAGGGGAGUGGCAGACGGGUGAGUAACGCGUGGGAACAUACCCUUUUCUACGGAAUAGCUCUGGGAAACUGGAAUUAAUACCGUAUACGCCCUACGGGGGAAAGAUUUAUCGGGGAAGGAUUGGCCCGCGUUGGAUUAGCUAGUUGGUGGGGUAAAGGCCUACCAAGGCGACGAUCCAUAGCUGGUCUGAGAGGACGAUCAGCCACAUUGGGACUGAGACACGGCCCAAACUCCUACGGGAGGCAGCAGUGGGGAAUAUUGGACAAUGGGCGCAAGCCUGAUCCAGCCAUGCCGCGUGAGUGAUGAAGGCCUUAGGGUUGUAAAGCUCUUUCACCGAUGAAGAUAAUGACGGUAGUCGGAGAAGAAGCCCCGGCUAACUUCGUG
rnacentral:rRNA from 1 species